UACGUAGGGUGCGAGCGUUAAUCGGAAUUACUGGGCGUAAAGCGUGCGCAGGCGGCUUUGCAAGACAGAUGUGAAAUCCCCGGGCUCAACCUGGGAACUGCAUUUGUGACUGCAAGGCUAGAGUACGGCAGAGGGGGAUGGAAUUCCGCGUGUAGCAGUGAAAUGCGUAGAUAUGCGGAGGAACACCAAUGGCGAAGGCAAUCCCCUGG
rnacentral:rRNA from 1 species